AGCUCCAAUAGCGUAUAUUAAAGUUGUUGCAGUUAAAAAGCUCGUAGUUGGACUUCUGGGAGGCUCCGCGAAGAGGCCCGCAGGGCCGCCUGAACGGACCUCUCAUCCUGCUGUUAGCGGUCGUUGCUUCACGGCGCGGCCGGGCUCAGCUACUUUACCUUGAGAAAAUUAGAGUGUUUCAGGCAGGACUUGUCCGGAAUACAUUAGCAUGGAAUAAUGGAAUAGGACUACGGUCUCCUUUUUGGUUUGAGGGACUAUAGUAAUGAUUAAUAGGGAUAGUUGGGGGCAUUAGUAUUCGACUGUCAGAGGUGGAAUUCUCGGAUUUGUUGAAGACUAACUUAUGCGAAAGCAUUUGCCAAGGAUGUUUUCA
rnacentral:rRNA from 1 species